rnacentral:rRNA from 1 species
GGGACGAACGCUGGCGGCGUGCUUAACACAUGCAAGUCGAGCGGUAAGGCCUUUCGGGGUACACGAGCGGCGAACGGGUGAGUAACACGUGGGUGAUCUGCCCUGCACUCUGGGAUAAGCCUGGGAAACUGGGUCUAAUACCGGAUAUGACCUGCUCUCGCAGUGGGGGGUGGGUGGAAAGAUUUAUCGGGUGCAGGAU